rnacentral:misc_RNA from 1 species
GAUGAAGAACGCAGCGAAAUGCGAUAAGUAAUGUGAAUUGCAGAAUUCAGUGAAUCAUCGAAUCUUUGAACGCACAUUGCGCCCGCCAGUAUUCUGGCGGGCAUGCCUGUUCGAGCGUCGUUACAACCCUCAGGCCCCCGGGCCUGGCGUUGGGGAUCGGCGGAGCCCCCCGUGGGCACACGCCGUCCCCCAAAUACAGUGGCGGUCCCGCCGCAGCUUCCAUCGCGUAGUAGCUAACACCUCGCGACUGGAGAGCGGCGCGGCCACGCCGUAAAACACCCAACUCUUCUGAAGUUGACCUCGAAUCAGGUAGGAAUACCCGCUGAACUUAAGCAUAUCAAUAAGCGGAGGA